rnacentral:lncRNA from 1 species
UGGAAGUGAUAAGUGUGUGAGUCAGAGUGAAAAGUCUCAGAGUUCGAGUGAAUUUGUUUGGAGGCUGCUGCAGAUUCGUUCUCUUCAGUCUCUGGAGGCUGCUCUGAAUUAGUUAGCAUAGGGUUUUGUUCCAAUGAAAUUAGAAUUUAUACUAUGAUUUUUGUGGCUUUGUGGGCUCAAAAUGAGGGCAACUCAAGCCCAUGACUUUCUGUUAUAUUUUUUUUAUUUUUCAAAAUGCGUGGGCUUCGCCUAGCGAAGAAUUUGCUCGCCUAGCGAGCAUGACAGUUCAGACUCUGGUGGCUCGCUAGGCGAACCAUUCUGCUCGCCUAGCGAGCAUGACAGUUCAGGUCAUCUUUCCAAAUUUGUAACCUGUGCGC